rnacentral:sRNA from 1 species
AUAUCUCUCCGUACGGGAAGGAUGAGAAGCUUCGAUUAAGGUUCGAUUCGAGCGCAGCGAGAAAGCGUUGCCGCAGGCAACGACCCGAAGGGCGAAGCGCG